GGGAGAGAAGCUCAGUGGCAGAGCGCAUGCUUAGCAUGCAGGAAGUCCUGGAUUCAAUCCCCAGUACCUCCA
rnacentral:tRNA from 1 species